GAUGAACGCUGGCGGCGUGCCUAAUACAUGCAAGUCGAGCGAACAGAUGAGGAGCUUGCUCCUCUGACGUUAGCGGCGGACGGGUGAGUAACACGUGGAUAACCUACCUAUAAGACUGGGAUAACUUCGGGAAACCGGAGCUAAUACCGGAUAAUAUAUUGAACCGCAUGGUUCAAUAGUGAAAGACGGUUUUGCUGUCACUUAUAGAUGGAUCCGCGCCGCAUUAGCUAGUUGGUAAGGUAACGGCUUACCAAGGCAACGAUGCGUAGCCGACCGGAGAGGGUGAUCGGCCACACUGGAACGGAGACACGGUCCAGACUCCUACGGGAGGCAGCAGAAGGGAAUCUUCGGCAAUGGGCGAAAGCCUGACGGGGCAAGGCGGCGGGGUGGAUGAAGGUUUUCGGAUCGUAAAACUCUGUUAUUAGGGAAGAACAAAUGUGUAAGUAACUAUGCACGUCUUGACGGUACCUAAUCAGAAAGCCACGGCUAACUACGUG
rnacentral:rRNA from 1 species